rnacentral:rRNA from 1 species
GCUUAACGCGAAGAACCUUACCAGGUCUUGACAUCCCGGUGACCACUAUGGAGACAUAGUUUCCCCUUCGGGGGCAACGGUGACAGGUGGUGCAUGGUUGUCGUCAGCUCGUGUCGUGAGAUGUUGGGUUAAGUCCCGCAACGAGCGCAACCCUUAUUCUUAGUUGCCAUCAUUCAGUUGGGCACUCUAAGGAGACUGCCGGUGAUAAACCGGAGGAAGGUGGGGAUGACGUCAAAUCAUCAUGCCCCUUAUGACCUGGGCUACACACGUGCUACAAUGGACGGUACAAACGGUUGCCAACCCGCGAGGGGGAGCUAAUCCGAUAAAACCGUUCUCAGUUCGGAUUGUAGGCUGCAACUCGCCUACAUGAAGCCGGAAUCGCUAGUAAUCGCGGAUCAGCAUGCCGCGGUGAAUACGUUCCCGGGUCUUGUACACACCG